rnacentral:rRNA from 1 species
GGAUCAAUUUAUUGGUUGUACCUUUUGGUACGUACUGAUUUUAUUGGUUUCUCCCUUCUGACGAAUCAUGAUGUCAUUAAUUUGAUGUCUUGGGGAAUCAGGACUGUUACUUUGAAAAAAUUAGAGUGUUUAAAGCAGGCUCACGCUUGAAUACAUUAGCAUGAAAUAAUGAAAUAGGAUGUUUAAUUCUAUUUUGUUGGUUUCUAGGAUCGACGUA